UUUGUUACAAUUCAUAAUAAUAAUCUUCUUUAUUGCAAUUAGGGUUCCUUCCCUUAGGGGAAAAAUUAGGGUUCCUUCCUACAUAUAAAAACUCGGACCUUGCCCUCCCUCCUCCGUAGCUCAACUUUGCGCACUCUCAAGUUUCGACCCCACCCAAACUACCAGAAAAGCAAUGGAGCAAACCUUCAUAAUGAUCAAGCAUGACGGGUCCAGAGAGGCCUUGUUGGUGAGGUCAUCGGCAGAUUUGAGAAGAAGGGUUUCUCCCUCAAGGGAUUGAAGCUAAUCACCGUGGAGCGCUCAUUUGCUGAGAAGCACUACGCAGACUUGUCAGCAAAGCCAUUCUUCAAUGGACUUGUUGAGUACAUUAUCUCUGGCCCCGUCGUUGCUAUGGUUUGGGAGGAAAUGUUAUUCAUGGAAGUGACUCCGUUGAGAGUGCAAGGAAAUUGCACUUUGGUUCCCAGAAGGCCCUGUUAGCUGGUCGAGCAGCCUUCACCCCUGGAUAUACGGGUAGAUGUUAUUCGCUACUUAUGAUGUCAGCUGUGUUGAAUCUCUCAUGUUUGCUCAUCAUUUCUCAAACUUUCAGACUUCCACCAUGUUUUAUAACUAAGCUCGUCAAGUGUUGGCUGAUGAUUUGAAAUAAUUAUCUACAAAAAGCAAGGCACUUUAAUAAUUCACAUCAUACAUUGAAGUGGGAAGCCGUGGUUUCCAUUAUUAACCUUUUGGCUUCAGGAUUAAGAGGAAAGUUUGUUUGCUGAAAAUUUAAUGAUCAGUUCUCACAAAUUGGGGAAUUGGUUUUACUGCACCCGAAAUUUGUAUUGGAAGAUAUGAUUACUUACCAUCGCCUGAAAAUUUUCAAUUUUCUAGAAUUUAA